CAUUCUGGAGAUCAGUCAGUUGGUAGAGCAUGUGACUCUUAUUCUCAUGGUCGUGGGUUCAAGCCCUAUGUUGGGUGA